GCGGGAGGCUAAUACAUGCAAGUCGAACGGUAACAGGGUAGCAAUACCGCUGACGAGUGGCGCACGGGUGAGUAACACGUACACAAUCUGCCUUAUACUGGAGCAUAGCCUUGGGAAACUAAGAUUAACUCUCCAUAACAUAGUGAAGCGGCAUCGCUUUAUUAUUAAAUCUCCGGAGGUAUAAGAUGAGUGUGCGUCUGAUUAGCUAGUUGGUGAGGUAACGGCUCACCAAGGCAACGAUCAGUAGCUGGUCUGAGAGGAUGAUCAGCCACACGGGCACUGAGACACGGGCCCGACUCCUACGGGAGGCAGCAGUAGGGAAUAUUGGACAAUGGGCGCAAGCCUGAUCCAGCCAUCCCGCGUGAAGGAUUAAGGCCCUAUGGGUUGUAAACUUCUUUUCUCUGGGAAUAAAAAGUGGGAUUUAUCCUGCCUUGAAGGUACCAGAGGAAUAAGCACCGGCUAACUCCGUGCCAGCAGCCGCGGUAAUACGGAGGGUGCAAGCGUUAUCCGGAUUCACUGGGUUUAAAGGGUGCGUAGGUGGCUUUGUAAGUCAGUGGUGAAAGCCCGGAGCUCAACUCCGGAACUGCCAUUGAUACUGCUUAGCUUGA
rnacentral:rRNA from 1 species